CCUACGGGGGGCAGCAGUGAGGAAUAUUGGUCAAUGGGCGGAAGCCUGAACCAGCCAAGUAGCGUGCAGGAUGACGGCCCUACGGGUUGUAAACUGCUUUUAUACGGGAAUAACGCGCCUUACGUGUAGGGCUUUGCAUGUACCGUAUGAAUAAGGACCGGCUAAUUCCGUGCCAGCAGCCGCGGUAAUACGGAAGGUCCGGGCGUUAUCCGGAUUUAUUGGGUUUAAAGGGAGCGUAGACGGUUGUAUAAGUCUGGAGUGAAAG
rnacentral:rRNA from 1 species